rnacentral:rRNA from 1 species
ACACAUGCAAGUCGAGCGGAAACGAGUUAACUGAACCUUCGGGGGACGUUAACGGCGUCGAGCGGCGGACGGGUGAGUAAUGCCUGGGAAAUUGCCCUGAUGUGGGGGAUAACCAUUGGAAACGAUGGCUAAUACCGCAUAAUAGCUUCGGCUCAAAGAGGGGGACCUUCGGGCCUCUCGCGUCAGGAUAUGCCCAGGUGGGAUUAGCUAGUUGGUGAGGUAAAGGCUCACCAAGGCGACGAUCCCUAGCUGGUCUGAGAGGAUGAUCAGCCACACUGGAACUGAGACACGGUCCAGACUCCUACGGGAGGCAGCAGUGGGGAAUAUUGCACAAUGGGCGCAAGCCUGAUGCAGCCAUGCCGCGUGUAUGAAGAAGGCCUUCGGGUUGUAAAGUACUUUCAGUCGUGAGGAA